rnacentral:rRNA from 1 species
UACAGAGGGGGCAAGCGUUGUUCGGAAUUACUGGGCGUAAAGGGCGCGUAGGCGGCCUGUUAAGUCGAACGUGAAAGCCCCGGGCUCAACCUGGGAAUGGCCGUUGAAACUGGCGAACUGGAGUGUGGCAGAGGGGGGUGGAAUUCCGCGUGUAGCAGUGAAAUGCGUAGAGAUGCGGAGGAACACCGAUGGCGAAGGCAGCCCCCUGGGCUGACACUGACGCCUCAGGCACGAAAGCGUGGGGAGCAAACAGG